rnacentral:pre_miRNA from 1 species
UUUUAAAAAAAAUUCAUUCAUUUCUAUUGUUAAAAACUGACAAAAUAACAAAUAUUGACACGUGGCAUGUCAUUUGUAUCUCAUGCUGCUGUAUAAUGACCAACUUUUAACAGUAGAAAUGAAUAAAAUUUUUAACA